rnacentral:rRNA from 1 species
UACGGAGGGCGCAAGCGUUGUUCGGAAUUACUGGGCGUAAAGCGCGUGUAGGCGGCUUGGCAAGUCGGGUGUGAAAGCCCGGGGCUCAACCCCGGAACUGCAUCCGAUACUGCCUCGCUCGAGUCCCGGAGAGGGUGGCGGAAUUUCCGGUGUAGAGGUGAAAUUCGUAGAUAUCGGAAGGAACACCAGUGGCGAAGGCGGCCACCUGGACGGUGACUGACGCUGAGACGCGAAAGCGUGGGGAGCAAACAGGAUUAGAUACCCUCGUAGUCC